CGAUUUUCCAACAUGGCGGACGGAGGUAGUGAAGACAUUUUGGAAGCAAACGUUCAACAACAACUUUCUAGGAUCGUGAAAGGCCACAGUUGACUUGUACUGAUGUAGAUAAGAGGUGCCAUGGUGUGCGGUUGUUGUCUGAAGUCUUGCAUCGCCUUGUUGGGUUUCAAUUUAAAGAAAAAGAAGUGGCAUUGUUUUGUGAAUUUCUGUGUGAUAGACUCAAGGAUCACUACACCAUUAUUCCUCAUGCCUUGUUUGGUAUUCUUGCCUUGGUAUGUGGACUUUAUUAUUUUUGGCUGAGAAAAAUAUCUUCCUCCAAAACCUAACAACCCAAUCAAUUACUUCAGAUACCUUCCCUAACAGAUCGAUUUGAAAUUCUUGAUGAUGUGUCAAGGCUUUACCUGUUGAUAAGGUGUAUGUUGUGUUAGGGUCAUUCCACAGUAUUUUGCAUGUCACGGAGGGGACAAUUCAGAGGAGAAUAUCAUGGAUAGCUCCCCAGCUUAAUAUAACUCAGUUCACUGAGGACUUCUAAUGGACAGAACAGCUAAUGAUUGUUUUAAAUCAAACUAUUUCCAAACAACUUCU